rnacentral:rRNA from 1 species
AUUGAACGCUGGCGGCAGGCCUAACACAUGCAAGUCGAGCGGAUGAGAAGAGCUUGCUCUUCGAUUCAGCGGCGGACGGGUGAGUAAUGCCUAGGAAUCUGCCUGGUAGUGGGGGACAACGUUUCGAAAGGAACGCUAAUACCGCAUACGUCCUACGGGAGAAAGCAGGGGACCUUCGGGUCUUGCGCUAUCAGAUGAGCCUAGGUCGGAUUAGCUAGUUGGUGGGGUAAUGGCUCACCAAGGCGACGAUCCGUAACUGGUCUGAGAGGAUGAUCAGUCACACUGGAACUGAGACACGGUCCAGACUCCUACGGGAGGCAGCAGUGGGGAAUAUUGGACAAUGGGCGAAAGCCUGAUCCAGCCAUGCCGCGUGUGUGAAGAAGGUCUUCGGAUUGUAAAGCACUUUAAGUUGGGAGGAAGGGCGUUUGGCUAAUAUCCAGGCGUUUUGACGUUACCAACAGAAUAAGCACCGGCUAACUUCGUGCCAGCCGCCGCGGUAAUAC